rnacentral:lncRNA from 1 species
GAAUGAAAACUAUGCAGCAUCAAUAUCAAAAUUGCUUUAUGGAAGCAAAGAAGAGAGUAACAAAGGAAACCUUUACUUUUAAUGGGUUGAAGAAUAGGUUCUAAAUCUAAACUCUCUUCUCCUAUAAUCUCCAGCAAAUAGCAAAAGAGUGAUCUCUUUGCUUUCGAUGAUAUCUUUCGUGUAAUCUCAUGCGUUGUAGAGAUCGAGAGCACGUUAAUCUUCUUUGAAUGCACGCAAAAAGUAGAUAUCUGUCUUCAUCCUCCGAGUGACUUCUGCUUGUAACCGUUCUUGAUCCUAUCGUAAAGUUUCUCCUUAGUUUUACGUUUCUUGUCCAUUUUCAAUCGGUAUCUUUCCUCACGUUCCCUCUCGUAAACGCCUUUCCAAUGCACUUCUCCGGUUAGUGGCCAUAGCCAUCUCUCCCUUGGAUGGUCGUUAUCAUCUGCUGCUUCUGCCCGCAUGUGAACCGGUCUGUCUUCAAAUACUUUUGUCUAAAGUAAUGACAUAUAGAUAAAUUGGGUACUAGAUAGGUAGCUUUUGUAAUGAUUUGCUUCUUUUAUUUGUCUGAGGGCUCCACUAGAAAUUCUUAAUGAAAACCAAACACGAGGUAGUGAGUCUGCGUCAGGAUGGUCGUUGGCAAUGUUGGUCUUGAGUCAUGUCAUGUCAUCUUCAACAUCUGUACGAGAAAUUCAUUUUAUCUAAAUUAAUUAACUAAGAUGCAAAAUGAUAAAAGAGCAAAUAGUUUUGUAGGAGAACUAACAAAAGAUUGUAAACAAAUGUUAACCAAGUUUACAGAAGAUUGUAUCUUUUCUGUUUAAAUUUUUUUCUUUAGCAAUUACUUUAUGAUUGUGUAAUUUGAAAAGUGGAACUCUAUUAUUUUAUGUCGUGUAAUAACUGAAAGAUUCUGUGGUCUGGUAGAGUGACCAAGACUGGUCGAAUUAAAAUGAUAGUAAGAUGAAUGAAAACUAUGCAGCAUCAAUAUCAAAAUUGCUUUAUGGAAGCAAAGAAGAGAAUAACAAAGGAAACCUUUACUUUUAAUGGGUUGAAGAAUAGGUUCUAAAUCUAAACUCUCUUCUCCUAUAAUCUCCAGCAAAUAGCAAAAGAGUGAUCUCUUUGCUUUCGAUGAUAUCUUUCGUGUAAUCUCAUGCGUUGUAGAGAUCGAGAGCACGUUAAUCUUCUUUGAAUGCACGCAAAAAGUAGAUAUCUGUCUUCAUCCUCCGAGUGACUUCUGCUUGUAACCGUUCUUGAUCCUAUCGUAAAGUUUCUCCUUAGUUUUACGUUUCUU